ACCAAAAGCCAGAACUAAACACCCAGAGCAGACCGAGUGUAAAAGACUAAAGCUGCAGAUAGGAGAGAAUAGGAAACAACUGCUCAGAAGCUGCCAGCUAAUAACGAUAAUCUAGUUUGUUUCAGUAGUAAUUUCAGGUUUCAGGUGUUUCAGGUUGUUUACCAAAGCAGUGACACUGCACCAGUCAUGAAGAUUAGGAAGGUGAUUCUCAUGGAUCAGUUCAUGAGGAGAGAAACUCACCCCCAACCGCCUGCUGAUGAGUGGUUAGAUGUCUUAGGAAAUGAAACCAAACCACUUUGAAGCAGUGCUGACAGAGCUGCCUGAAAAUGUGAAAGCACCCACAAACAUCAGCACCCACAAACAUCAGGCCACGGAUGAGAAGAUGUUGGAGGACCCGUCCAGCACCCACACACAUCAGGCCACGGAUGAGAAGAUGUUGGAGGACUCGUCCAGCACCCACAAACAUCAGGCCACGGAUGAGAAGAUGUUGGAGGACUCGUCCAGCACCCACAAACAUCAGGCCACGGAUGAGAAGAUGUUGGAGGACUCGUCCAGCACCCACACACAUCAGGCCACGGAUGAGAAGAUGUUGGAGGACUCGUCCAGCACCCACAAACAUCAGGUCACGGAUGAGAAGAUGUUGGAGGACCCGUCCAGCACCCACAAACAUCAGGCCACUGAUGAGAAGAUGUUGGAGGACCCGUCCAGCACCCACACACAUCAGGCCACGGAUGAGAAGAUGUUGGAGGACCCGUCCAGCACCCACAAACAUCAGGCCACGGAUGAGAAGAUGUUGGAGGACUCGUCCAGCACCCACACACAUCAGGCCACGGAUGAGAAGAUGUUGGAGGACCCGUCCAGCACCCACACACAUCAGGCCACGGAUGAGAAGAUGUUGGAGGACCCGUCCAGCACCCACACACAUCAGGCCACGGAUGAGAAGAUGUUGGAGGCCCGUCCAGCACCCACACACAUCAGGCCACGGAUGAGAAGAUGUUGGAGGCCCCGUCCAGCACCCACA
rnacentral:lncRNA from 1 species